ACCAAAAAGCCAUCGUGGGAACUUUACGUCUUCCAUGGAGACGUUUGCGUAGUCUCAGACCCCGACAUCAAACCUGUUGCUCUUCGCACCCCACGCCUCGACGCGUAUAGUGGUCAGAGCCUUACUAUUCCCUCGACCUCCACAACACGCCGCACACUAGCUUUGGGCUUUACCGUACAGCAAGUUCUAUCGGCAUCCAAGGAGCUGACGUGGACCCAGAUGGCUACGCUGAAGCCGUGGGAAAUCUUAAGGCACAAGGCAAGACACAAUUAA
rnacentral:lncRNA from 1 species